UACGAGGGGGGCAAGCGUUGUUCGGAAUUACUGGGCGUAAAGGGCUCGUAGGUGGCCAACUAAGUCAGACGUGAAAUCCCUCGGCUUAACCGGGGAACUGCGUCUGAUACUGGAUGGCUUGAGUUUGGGAGAGGGAUGCGGAAUUCCAGGUGUAGCGGUGAAAUGCGUAGAUAUCUGGAGGAACACCGGUGGCGAAGGCGGCAUCCUGGACCAACACUGACACUGAGGAGCGAAAGCCAGGGGAGCAAACGGG
rnacentral:rRNA from 1 species